rnacentral:rRNA from 1 species
CAAUAGCGUAUAUUUAAGUUGCUGCAGUUAAAAAGCUCGUAGUUGGAUUUCGGGUGGGAAUGGCCGGUCCGCCGUUUCGGUGUGCACUUGCUACGCCCACCUUGCUGCCGGGGACGUGCUCUUGAGUUCACGCUCGGGACACGGAGUCGGCGAGGUUACUUUGAGUAAAUUAGAGUGUUCAAAGCAGGCCUACGCUCUGAAUACAUUAGCAUGGAAUAACACGAUAGGACUCUGGCCUAUCUUGUUGGUCUGUAGGACCGGAGUAAUGAUUAAGAGGGACAGUCGGGGGCAUUCGUAUCUCAUUGUCAGAGGUGAAAUUCUCGGAUUUAUGAAAGACGAACUACUGCGAAAGCAUUUGCCAAGGAUGUUUUCAUUAA